rnacentral:rRNA from 1 species
GACGCUCUUCGGUGCCUGCUCUGCUCUGCCAGCUGCGAGAACUAAUGUGAAUUGCAGGACACAUCGAUCAUCAACACUUCGAAUGCACCUUGCGGCCCCGGGUUCCUCCCGGGGCUACGCCUGUCUGAGGGUCG